GUCCACGCCGUAACGAUGUCGAUUGGAGGCUGUGUCCUUGAGACGUGGCUUCCGGAGCUAACGCGUUAAAUCGACCGCCUGGGAGUACGGCCGCAAGGUUAACUCAAAUGAAUUGACGGGCCGGCACAAGCGGUGGAGCAUGUGGUUUAAUUCGAUGCAACGCGAAGAACCUUACCUGGCCUUGACAUGUCUGGAAUCCUGCAGAGAUGCGGGAGUGCCUUCGGGAAUCAGAACACAGGUGCUGCAUGGCUGUCGU
rnacentral:rRNA from 1 species